GACGAACGCUGGCGGCGUGCUUAAUACAUGCAAGUCGAGCGAGCAGAACCAGCAGAUUUACUUCGGUAAUGACGCUGGGGACGCGAGCGGCGGAUGGGUGAGUAACACGUGGGGAACCUGCCCCAUAGUCUGGGAUACCACUUGGAAACAGGUGCUAAUACCGGAUAAGAAAGCAGAUCGCAUGAUCAGCUUAUAAAAGGCGGCGUAAGCUGUCGCUAUGGGAUGGCCCCGCGGUGCAUUAGCUAGUUGGUAAGGUAACGGCUUACCAAGGCGAUGAUGCAUAGCCGAGUUGAGAGACUGAUCGGCCACAUUGGGACUGAGACACGGCCCAAACUCCUACGGGAGGCAGCAGUAGGGAAUCUUCCACAAUGGACGCAAGUCUGAUGGAGCAACGCCGCGUGAGUGAAGAAGGUUUUCGGAUCGUAAAGCUCUGUUGUUGGUGAAGAAGGAUAGAGGUAGUAACUGGCCUUUAUUUGACGGUAAUCAACCAGAAAGUCACGGCUAACUACGUGCCAGCAGCCGCGGUAAUACGUAGGUGGCAAGCGUUGUCCGGAUUUAUUGGGCGUAAAGCGAGCGCAGGCGGAAAAAUAAGUCUUGAUGUGAAAGCCCUCGGCUUAACCGAGGAACUGCAUCGGAAACUGUUUUUCUUGAGUGCAGAAGAGGAGAGUGGAACUCCAUGUGUAGCGGUGGAAUGCGUAGAUAUAUGGAAGAACACCAGUGGCGAAGGCGGCUCUCUGGUCUGCAACUGACGCUGAGGCUCGAAAGCAUGGGUAGCGAACAGGAUUAGAUACCCUGGUAGUCCAUGCCGUAAACGAUGAGUGCUAAGUGUUGGGAGGUUUCCGCCUCUCAGUGCUGCAGCUAACGCAUUAAGCACUCCGCCUGGGGAGUACGACCGCAAGGUUGAAACUCAAAGGAAUUGACGGGGGCCCGCACAAGCGGUGGAGCAUGUGGUUUAAUUCGAAGCAACGCGAAGAACCUUACCAGGUCUUGA
rnacentral:rRNA from 1 species